CCCUUAGAUGUUCUGGGCAGCACGCGCGCUACAAUGGUCUUCGCAAACGGAUGCAUUCUCGAAGGAGAAUGCCAAUCUUGGAAUCUAGGCCUUGGUCGGGACAGUUGCUUGCAAUUUUUCGACUCGAACCAGGAAUUCCUUGUAAUCGUGAUUCAUCACAUCACGAUGAAUACGUCCCUGCCCUUUGUACACACCGCCCGUCGCUCCUACCGAUCGAAGAGUUAGGUGAAUUGUUUUGAUCGAUAAGAUUUGACUAUGGUCAACUCUCGUUGUGAAAUUCUGUGAAUCUGACUGUUUAGAGGAAGGAAAAGUCGUAACA
rnacentral:rRNA from 1 species